UUCAGGGAACUGGCUGGGGGAAGAUAGGGGUCCAGCAGACACUGUCUCUGGCCAGUCCCCCCAGGCGACAGAAGGUGGCCCCAUCAGUGCCUAUGGGUACACGGUCUCUGUCAGAUGGUCCUGCUGAGAGGAGGGGCUUAUCUCCCCACAAAACUGUCUGGUCCUCUUCACUCCCACCUCGGCCCUCAUCCUUCCACACUCGUUCCUUUUAGGCUUUAUUGGAGUAGCCUGGCAGCUAAGUGAGGGCAGGGCUGAGUUAUUGAGCCACUGGCCUGUGCUGAAAAGACCUCAGCUCCAGGGACAGAACUUCGAACAAAGCGGACCUGCUCCUCCUGAUUUUGUGAAGCUUAGCCUCUGGCUAGGGUAACAAUAAACAGGCCAUUAUGAUCCCUACUGCA